GCCGAAGGAUGCAAGCGUUAUCCGGAUUCAUUGGGUUUAAAGGGAGCGUAGGUGGCCUUAUAAGUCAGUGGUGAAAUCUCUGGGCUUAACCCAGAAAUUGCCAUUGAUACUGUAGGGCUUGAGUAUAGUUGCCGUUGGCGGAAUAUGACAUGUAGUGGUGAAAUACAUAGAGAUGUCAUAGAACACCGAUUGCGAAGGCAGCUGACGAAACUAUAACUGACACUGAGGCUCGAAAGUGCGGGGAUCAAACAGG
rnacentral:rRNA from 1 species